GUAUUGGGGAGGCAGGCUUGGGGCGAUGGCAAUGCAACGUAGCAGCUGGGCACAUUCCUCAGGAUUCACCACCUCUGUUGAAACCGAUGAGAACGGCUGAGAGUUUGGACCAUCUGAGCAUAUAUUGCAGUGGGGAUGACAGGCUGGGGAAGAUCCUGCAGGUACCUGCGCAGACCAUCACACAGGACGGAAAGUUCCACCUGAUCCAGGUCUGGUGAGGGAGGAUCUGAAGUGCAAUACAACACAGAGACGAGACACACUCUUAAAAACUAAACUGCUUUGUGCACAGUGAAAUAUUUAAUUACAUGCUUGUGUUCAAUCUGCAAAACUAUCUGAUGCAUACGUAGAUGCAACCAUGGCUGAUGCAAUAAAGCCUUCAGAAACCA